ensembl:snRNA U6 U6 spliceosomal RNA
GUGCUUCAGCAGCACAUAUACUAAACUUGGAACAAUACAGAGAAGAUUAGUAUGAUCCCUGCACAGGGAUGGCGCAUAAAUUCAUGAAACGUUCCAUAUUUUU